rnacentral:rRNA from 1 species
GAUCUCGGCAAGCAGGGGGCGGUUCGAUAUUUGUCGACACUGCCCCAUUUGCUUGUAUUUUUGACAGAGGGUUGAGGGUCCCCUUCAUUGGGUGUCCUCGGUCGCUGUCAGGUUUACUUUGAAAAAAUUAGAGUGCUCAAAGCAGGCUUUAAAGCUUGAAUAUUCGUGCAUGGAAUAAUAGAAUAGGAACUCGUUUCUAUUUUGUUGGUUUUCGGAAAUCGAGUUAAUGAUUAAUAGGGACAAUUGGGGGCAUUAGUAUUCAGACGACAGAGGUGAAAUUCUUGGACCGUCUGAAGACUAACUACUGCGAAAGCAUUUGCCAAGAGUGUUUUCAUUAAUCAAGAACGAAAGUUAGAGGUUCGAAGGCGAUCAGAUACCGCCCUAGUUCUAACCAUAAACGAUGCCAAUUAGCGAUCUGUGGGUGUGUAAAUACAAGACCCCACAGGGAGCUUCCGGGAAACCAAAAUUUGUGGGUUCCGGGGGAAGUAUGGUUGCAAAGCUGAAACUUAAAGGAAUUGACGGAAGGGCACCACCAGGAGUGGAGCCUGCGGCUUAAUUUGACUCAACACGGGAAAUCUCACCAGGCCCGGACACUGGAAGGAUUGACAGAUUGAGAGCUCUUUCUCGAUUCGGUGGGUGGUGGUGCAUGGCCGUUCUUAGUUGGUGGAGUGAUUUGUCUGGUUAAUUCCGAUAACGAACGAGACUCUGUCCUGCUAAAUAGUUGGAACGUCCUUCGUGCGUUCCAAAUUCUUCUUAGAGGGACUGGCUGCGUCUAGCAGCACGAGAUUGAGCAAUAACAGGUCUGUGAUGCCCUUAGAUGUUCUGGGCCGCACGCGCGCUACACUGAAGGGAUCAGCGUGUUCUCCCUUUCCGAGAGGAACGGGUAACCCGUUGAACCCCCUUCGUGGUAGGGAUCGGAGCUUGCAAUUGUUCUCCGUGAACCAGGAAUUCCCAGUAAGCGCAAGUCAUAAGCUUGCGUUGAUUACGUCCCUGCCCUUUGUACACACCGCCCGUCGCUACUACCGAUUGAACGUUUUAGUGAGGUAUU